CGUAAUUACGAGAUAGUUUAUUUUCCCUACUAGCAUCAGGAUCCGCAGCGGAUUCGCUUUCGCUCCGCCAAAUCCGCCCCACAGUCCGUCCGCUUUGCGGAUCCGCUGCGUAUUUGUUCCGUAUUCGCUUUCUGACUGUUGCUAAUCCUAACCCUUGGAUGAGCUGCUGUUACAGAGAGAAUCUGCGGUUAAAUCAUCUUAGAUCCGCACUGUGAACGUACUUUUAACACAACACUUUGUUUCUGACACAUUGAUUUGUUCGAUCAAUGCGCGGAUUCGCGGCUAAACCAGUUUUCCACCUGAGUGGAAAGAAGCAGCAUCCACCUGUUGUCCGCGGAUUUAACUUUUGGACGAGUGCAGUAGGAAAGUUAGCGACAGGAGCAGCUGACGUGAUGAAGACGAUGUGAGGUCAGGAGUCAGGAUAACUCCAUCUCUUGAGAAUUGUAAUUCUGCUCCGUGAUCAUUGGUCGUGUCUAACGGGUUCGGUUCUGGCUGGACGCCGCUCUCGGCGCUCUGCCUUCGGCUGUGGAGCGACGGUGACACCGGUGUCUGAUCUG